UAGGGAAUCUUCGGCAAUGGGGGGAACCCUGACCGAGCAACGCCGCGUGAGUGAAGAAUGAUUUCGGUUCGUAAAACUCUGUUGUUAGAGAAGAACAGCGCAUAGAGUAACUGUUAUGCGUGUGACGGUAUCUAACCAGAAAGCCACGGCUAACUACGUGCCAGCAGCCGCGGUAAUACGUAGGUCCCGAGCGUUGUCCGGAUUUAUUGGGCGUAAAGCGAGCGCAGGCGGUUAGAUAAGUCUGAAGUUAAAGGCAGUGGCUCAACCAUUGUAGGCUUUGGAAACUGUUUAACUUGAGUGCAGAAGGGGAGAGUGGAAUUCCAUGUGUAGCGGUGAAAUGCGUAGAUAUAUGGAGGAACACCGGUGGCGAAAGCGGCUCUCUGGUCUGUAACUGACGCUGAGGCUCGAAAGCGUGGGGAGCGAACAGG
rnacentral:rRNA from 1 species